GGAAAGGAUAGGGGAUUUCUGCUGGAACAUUCAUGGAGUAUGGUUGCUACCACUUCAGGUCUUCCUAGCCCUUGUUAUUUUGUAUAGGAAUCUGGGUGCUGCCCCCUCAUUUGCUGCUCUUUCUUCCACAAUUUUGAUUAUGGUGAGCAAUACACCAUUGGCCAAUAAGCAAGAAAAGCUGCACACCAGGAUCAUGGAAGCUAAGGACUCAAGAAUUAAAGCAACUUCAGAGACUCUCAAGAGCAUGAGAGUCUUGAAACUGUAUUCAUGGGAAUCUGCAUUUUUGAAGAAGCUUCGUAAACUCAGAGAUGCCGAGAGAGAAUGGCUGAAAAGAUAUCUCUAUACAAGCUCAUUCAUAGCCUUUCUCNGGGCUUCACCAACUCUAGUCUCUGUCAUUACCUUUGGAGUCUGCAUUCUACUAAAAACACCAUUAACAACAGGUUCAGUCCUCUCAGCGUUAGCCACAUUCCGAAUUCUGCAAGAACCCAUCUACAACCUGCCUGAGCUCAUUUCCAUGAUUGCUCAAACUAAGGUCUCAGUUGAUCGCAUCCAAGAGUUCUUAAAAGAAGAUGAUCAGAGAAAGCAAAUACCUUGUAACAUCUCACAAGCAUCUGACAUCUCAAUUGAAAUUGAAAUUGGAGAAUAUGCUUGGGAAACAAAUUAUCAGAACUCAAGGAAACCUACUAUUAAAAUUACGGAGAAAAUGAAAUUAAAGAAGGGUUACAAAGUUGCAGUGUGUGGAUCAGUUGGGUCUGGCAAAUCAAGCCUACUCUGCAGUAUACUUGGCGAGAUCCCCAGAAUUUCUGGAGCAGGAAUUAAGGUGUAUGGAGCAAAGGCUUAUGUUCCCCAAAGUGCUUGGAUUCAAACAGGGACAGUGAGAGAAAAUGUGUUGUUUGGCAAGGAUAUGGAUAAGGCUUUCUACGAGGAAGUUCUGGAAGUAUGUGCUUUGAACCAGGAUAUUGGGACAUGGGUGGACAGAGAUUUGAUUGUGGUGGGAGAGAGAGGGAUAAACUUGAGUGGAGGACAAAAGCAGAGAAUUCAACUUGCAAGGGCUGUUUAUAGUAAUUCAGAUGUUUAUAUCCUGGAUGACCCUUUUAGUGCUGUUGAUGCACAUACUGGAACACAUCUGUUCAAGAAAUGUUUCAUGCAAUUAUUGUCUCAGAAAACUGUCAUAUAUGCUACCCAUCAACUGGAAUUUUUAGAUGCUGCUGACCUUGUUCUGGUGAUGAAAGAUGGUGUGAUUGUCCAGUCAGGAAAAUAUGAAGAUUUAAUUGCAGAUACAACUGGGGAACUUGUUACACAAAUGGCUGCUCAUAAAAAGUCUAUAAAGCAAGUGAACCCACCCCCAGAAUAUAAUGUCUUAACCAGUGGACCCUCUCAGUUAAAUGAAAAUGAAGUCAUAGAAGAGACAUUUGAAGAACCUAUCAGUAACAGGAGAAUUUCAGAGAGAAAUCAAGAAGAAUUAACAGAAACUGGUAGAGUGAAAUGGAGUGUUUACUCAACUUUUGUUACUUCAGCUUAUAAAGGUGCACUUGUUCCAGUCAUUCUUCUAUGUCAAGUCCUCUUCCAGGGACUCCAGAUAGGAAGCAAUUAUUGGAUUGCUUGGGCAUCAGAGGACAAACACAAGAUAACCAGAGAGCAGUUGAUUGAGAUAUUCAUUUUGUUGUCUGGUGGAAGCUCUAUCUUUAUAUUAGGGAGAACAGUUUUGCUGGCAAACAUUGCUGUUGAGACUGCUCAACGACUCUUCCAAGGAAUGAUCGAAUCAGUUUUUAGAGCACCUAUUUCAUUCUUCGAUUCAACUCCUUCAAGUAGAAUUCUCAACAGGUCCUCUACAGAUCAAAGCACAGUGGACACAGACAUUCCCUACAGAUUAGCUGGAUUGGCAUUUGCACUAAUUCAACUUUUAAGUAUAAUUAUCCUUAUGUCUCAUGUCGCUUGGCAGGUCUUCCUUCUCUUUCUUGUCAUUAUCGGAAUCUCCAUCGGCUAUCAGGCCUAUUACAUUUCCACUGCUAGAGAAUUAGCCAGGAUGGUUGGAAUCAGGAAGGCUCCUAUCUUGCAUCACUUUUCAGAAUCUAUUGCAGGGGCAGCAACUAUUCAUUGUUUCAAUCAGGAAGAUCGCUUUUUGAUGAGAAACCUUAGCCUCAUUGAUGAUUAUUCUCGCAUAGUCUUCCACAACACAGGCUCAAUGGAAUGGCUAUGCAUUAGAAUAAACUUUCUUUUCAACCUCGUUUUCUUCCUUGCUCUGAUCAUCUUGGUGAGCCUUCCCAGGUCAGCUAUUGAUCCCAGCUUGGCAGGGCUGGCAGCUACCUAUGG
rnacentral:misc_RNA from 1 species